GAUGAAGAACGUAGCGAAAUGCGAUAAGUAAUGUGAAUUGCAGAAUUCAGUGAAUCAUCGAAUCUUUGAACGCACAUUGCGCCCGUCAGUAUUCUGGCGGGCAUGCCUGUUCGAGCGUCAUUACAACCCUCAGGCCCCCGGGCCUGGCGUUGGGGAUCGGCAGAAGCCCCCUGUGGGCACACGCCGUCCCUCAAAUACAGUGGCGGUCCCGCCGCAGCUUCCAUUGCGUAGUAGCUAACACCUCGCAACUGGAGAGCGGCGCGGCCAUGCCGUAAAACACCCAACUUCUGAAUGUUGACCUCGAAUCAGGUAGGAAUACCCGCUGAACUUAAGCAUAUCAAUAAGCGGAGGA
rnacentral:misc_RNA from 1 species